UACGGAGGGUGCAAGCGUUGUCCGGAAUCACUGGGCGUAAAGGGCGCGUAGGCGGCUCAUGAAGGCUGGGGUGAAAGUCCGGGGCUCAACCUCGGAUCGGCCGUGGCGACUCGUGGGCUGGAGCACUGUAGAGGCGGGUGGAAUUCCGGGUGUAGCGGUGGAAUGCGUAGAGAUCCGGAAGAACACCAGUGGCGAAGGCGGCCCGCUGGGCAGUGGCUGACGCUGAGGCGCGACAGCGUGGGGAGCAAACAGG
rnacentral:rRNA from 1 species